rnacentral:rRNA from 1 species
GAUGAACGCUGGCGGCGUGCCUAAUACAUGCAAGUCGAGCGAACAGACGAGGAGCUUGCUCCGCUGACGUUAGCGGCGGACGGGUGAGUAACACGUGGAUAACCUACCUAUAAGACUGGGAUAACUUCGGGAAACCGGAGCUAAUACCGGAUAAUAUAUUGAACCGCAUGGUUCCAUAGUGAAAGACGGUUUUGCUGUCACUUAUAGAUGGAUCUGCGCCGCAUUAGCUAGUUGGUAAGGUAACGGCUUACCAAGGCAACGAUGCGUAGCCGACCUGAGAGGGUGAUCUGCCACACUGGAACUGAGACACGGUCCAGACUCCUACGGGAGGCCGCAGUCUGGAAUCUUCCGCAAUGGGCGAAAGCCUGACGCAGCAACGCCCCGUGAGUGAUGAAAGUCUUGGGGUCGUAAAACUGUGUUACUAGAGAAGAACAAAUGUGGAAGUAGCUAUUCACAGCUUGACGGUACCUAGUCAGAAUGCCACGGCUAACUAUGUU